GGGUGUGCCCUGACAACCUGUUACUUGUAAAUCAAAAGCAAAUUCACAAGUACUCCUUCCCUUCAGAGGAAAGCUGGCCAAAUCCUGGGCCUUUUGCCAGUGCUGCUGAGGUGAGGGACACCCCAGCUCCUGGCUCCAUCAAAGCAGCACCUCCAUCUCUCUCACUGGCGCUGCUUUUGCAGCAAGCUUUUGCACAUGGUUUGAGACAGGUCUUGGCAUCUGGGAAGGAGAUGAUGCUCCAAGUGUCCUCCAAAUUUCAAGCAGAUAGUUUAACCUGGUGUGUCAGGACUCCUGGAAGCUGGACCUCUUCCAGUGAUGUGUGAUGCUGGGAUUUUAUUGGCUCCAUGACCAUUGGCUACAUGGCAGACAGAUCUGGGCACACACUCUGCCUUCUGGUCACUGCAUCAAUGGUUUCAGGGGUUCUGAUGGCCUUUGCACUGAGCUGCACCUGAAUGGUGAUGUUUGGCCUUAUCCAGGCACUGGUCAGCGAGGGAAGCUGGCGCACAGGCUCUGUCCUCAGGUACCCAGUUUGCAAUUGCACCUUCUUGGAAGGGACCCCUGAUUAGCAGCAAGCCUGACCCCCACUGACACCAUCUAAUUUUCAAAGCACUGUCUGUAACAAGAGCAGACUUCCUGAGCCAGAAGCAUUUUUGCUUUGCUUCUUCAUGGACCAUCCUGCAAAAUUUUUCUAUUUGCCUCCUGAACACUUUCAUGUUUCUGGUGUUCCAGAGCAUCUGACAGCAGCAGCUCAUGUGGUUUAAAGUGGAAAAUUCAUGAAGGAACACUUUCUUUUGCUUCUUAUAAAACUAAAAGUCUCUUUGGGCUACUCACUCACAGGUCAUUUCUGCAGCGAGCAGGAGUGCAGUCAUGAGCCCAACUCACUUCCUCCAAGCUACACCUGACUCUGCACAAAAGUAGCACAGAAGCAGUAUCUGAUUUGCUGUCACAAUUCCCUCUGCCUCCCUCAAAAUCUUGGUGCUGUUGGUCUAUAAUUCAGCUCCUGCCACUCAGCAGUGAGCACUGCCCCUGUGGAGCCCACUGUGGGAGCCCGAGGUAUCCAAAAGCCCCUUUUCCCUCCUACUUUUGCUCCUCUUCUUUCAGAGAAAUAAGUAUAAAAAACAAGCACCUCUAAGCCCAGGCUGGCUUUUAAGAUUUGGCAUUCCAGAAUUUGACUAGAUAUUAGGGAAGCUGGAAAAUGAAAAAAAAAGACAAUGAGGAGUUGGAGGCAGUGAAUCCUCAGGACGUGUUGGGCUGCGUACAACCACAUAAAAUUCAGGAUCAGGGAUGGGGAAGGAGCAGAAAGCCCAAUCACAGACACCCCCUGGGACCAGCACAAACAAUAACAGGACACUCUGCUCUGCAUAUUAAAGCACAUUAAAGUUUGUGUUUAUGCAUGAAUGUUUUCCUAAUGCCCUGAGCUUGAUUAUUUACAUGGCCAAACUCCCAAACAUCUGUCAGAAAUAAGUACUGAUUAUAACUACUUAUUAUAAAAAAUAAGUACAGGGGGAAAGAUAAGCCAAAGAAGGAGUAAAGGAUGUGGCUUUAAAAGUAGUUUUCUCUCCAUACCUUGGUGGAAAAUCACUGCUGUAGUGCCUUUGAAGGUUGAAGAGUCCUCUCCACAGGUCUUGGGCAGCUGUGAUUCAGAUCAUAUUCAUCAACUUAUAUUUAUUCUCUGGAUUUGUGUUUGCCUCCUGACCAGUGCUAAUUGUGGAAGAAGGCCCAAUUUCUCAAUAUUUUAAAAUAUUAAGGAUGUAGGACAACGCAGUGGUGCAGACUAGGGAUGGGAUAGGAACACCGAAGUGCCCAAACAAGAGCCAUGCUUGCAUGUUGGCAUUUUGGAUUUAGGUGCUGACAGCAGCAGCAGAGAACAAAAACAGUGCUUAGAAAGGUGAAGCCCUCAGCCACAAGAUCAUCUGCCCAUCAGAUGAUGCCAUGGAGAACACCAGAAAAUUUGUGAAAGUAAAGCUGGUUGGCCAAAACCCAUUUGGUGAAGCCUGGUGGGUAUCCCAAAACAUGAAGCUUUAAGUUCUCUUCAGGCUCAGCUGCUAUAAAGUCCAGGUUUAAGUAAUUAGGUGAGGAGCAGGGUCUUCUUUAGGGGUCAGUCCCACUUUAAUUAAUCUGGCCCUGUUUACUUGCUCCCAGGCUCCUUGCCAGAGUCAGGUGGUGCCUGGUCCUGAAGGGCUCCUUCCCAAGCUCCACUGGCACUGGCUGUGCUCCAGCAGCCCCAGGAGCAGACAGGCUCCAGCUGCUCUUUAGGGGAAGGGGAGCUGUCAAACUGUGUUGCCUGAGGCAGGAUGUGAGCUCCCCCCCACAGCCUGGGGUGACACACUCCUGCCACCCCCAGGACACAGUGCUGCUGCUCCCCGUUUUAGAGCAGCCAUGUGCACCUGGACCAGCUUUUACAUCCCUCUGACUUCCCAGCUCCAGGAAUCAAUGGGCAAAGGUCACUAGCAAAGAAGUGAAUUAAGGAAUUUGCCCUUGUGUUUAUUAAGCUGCCAGCAGAAGCAGAUGCCACUAUCCCGUGCAGAUGACAGUAAAGCAAAGGCGUGCCAGAAUCUCUGUAGCUCCUGCUGUGGCAGUAGCAGUGCUUGUGGGAAUAAACACCAGUGUAAUAGGUAAGAGUCUUGGAACUCAGCUUUUGUAAUUAUUUAUUUAUUCAUCUCAGUCUUUGCUUUGCUUGACUUGUUGCUACCACCCCCAUUUUCUACCUGCAGAGUUUUCAACAGGUUUUAUAUCAAAGAAUUGUAAGUCAGAAGUUCUGAUGGAUUUCUUUUAGUCCAGGGAAGAGACAUGUCUGCAACCACAGCAGGAUAUCAGCUCUACCAGACACAUAAUUACACCCCCACUGUUCCUCUUGCCCUCUCAGGACAAGCUCAUUCCCCUCUGAUCCUGAAGCAAAUAGUAGUUUUGCAACUGCCCGGGCCAAAGUCAUGUCGUUCCUGAUCUGUCCCUGCUCUUCUCAGGGCAACCUUGCCAUGGCCCUGCCUCUCUGGACAGCACACUUCCCUGCCCUGGAGGCCCUCACAGCAGCACUGAAUAUUAACUGAGGUCCAGGUCAGCUGAAAGCAGGUGCAAGGUCACUGGGAUGCAAUCCUGGGGGAAUUUCACCCUGCCUGCUAGAGUCCAGCAGUGUCUUGCUCAACUGGGAGUUCUCUCCCUGCAGCUGAUUAUCAAUGGGCAGAGGUAUCUCAUACCCUGCUCACAGUAUCCUUAUGGAAAACCAGUGGUUUUUCCAGCAGAUAGGGACCAGCAAUACAAACAGGGAAGGAGAGCCACAGGACCAUUGUCCCUAUUUUGCCCUGCAACCACAGGUCUGUUACAAUCGCUCAACAGGAUGGACUAGGACAAUUCUGAAGGUGCUGGACAUUUCCUGGAAGACCCAGUGCUGUUCGUGAUUCUCCUUGAUGCACAGGACCCUUGGUCAGGGUCCUGCACAUUCCCAAGCCUGAUCCCAGCUCACUCCAAAGGAAUGCCCCUGCAGGGCACAUGUAUAAUGCUAUUACCUUUUAAAGGAUUAAGAGUGUUUCUGCUAUGCAUGUUU